CGGUUUGUUCCGGGUUGAUCCGGU
rnacentral:siRNA from 1 species